UACGUAGGGUGCAAGCGUUAAUCGGAAUUACUGGGCGUAAAGCGUGCGCAGGCGGUUAUGUAAGACAGAUGUGAAAUGCCCGGGCUUAACCUGGGAACUGCAUUUGUGACUGCAUGGCUAGAGUUUGGUAGAGGGGGGGUAGAAUUCCACGUGUAGCAGUGAAAUGCGUAGAUAUGUGGGAGGAACACCGAUGGCGAAGGCAGCCCCCUGGGUCAAGACUGACGCUCAUG
rnacentral:rRNA from 1 species